rnacentral:misc_RNA from 1 species
UUGUACACACCGCCCGUCACACCAUGAGAGUUUGUAACACCCAAAGUCGGUGGGGUAACCUUUUAGGAGCCAGCCGCCUAAGGUGGGACAGAUGAUUAGGGUGAAGUCGUAACAAGGUAGCCGUAGGAGAACCUGCGGCUGGAUCACCUCCUUUCUAAGGAAACAAAUCGGAACCUUACACAUUAGUGGAAACGUUGUUCAGUUUUGAGGGAUUUACCCUCAAAUGCAUCUUAAAUGAUGCUAGGAUUGCACAUUGAAAACUGAAUCUUGAUUCUUUUUAUUAAAAACCGAGAACACCGCGUUUUUUGAGUUUUUUAACAAGUAAUUGUUAUUCGCUAAACUCACAACCGCAGUUCUUUAGAACUGUUAGGUUAAGUUAACAAGGGCGCACGGUGGAUGCCUUGGCACUAGGAGCCGAUGAAGGACGGGACUAACACCGAUAUGCUUCGGGGAGCUGUAAGUAAGCUUUGAUCCGGAGAUUUCCGAAUGGGGGAACCCAGCCAGUUUAACCGCUGGUUAUCACUAGGGGAAUACAUACUCUAGUUGAAGGUAGACGUUGUGAACUGAAACAUCUAAGU